rnacentral:rRNA from 1 species
UACAGAGGGUGCAAGCGUUGUUCGGAAUCAUUGGGCGUAAAGCGCGUGUAGGCGGAUGAGCAAGUCUGCUGUGAAAGCUCCUGGCUUAACCGGGAGUGGUCGGUGGAAACUGCUCGUCUGGAGGACGGUAGAGGUAGGUAGAAUUCCCGGUGUAGUGGUGAAAUGCGUAGAGAUCGGGAGGAAUACCUGUGGCGAAGGCGGCCUACUGGGCCGGACCUGACGCUGAGACGCGAAGGCGUGGGGAGCGAACAGG